CUGUUAACCAAGCAAUAUCAUUUCAAUUUCAAGGGAAUGUUCCGUGGAUUGGAAGACCAUGAGGGAAUCGAGGUUGACAAAUAUGGCAGGCUUCAUCUACCUGAUACGAUAUCGA